CAUAACCCCAUAACCCCCCAUAACCCCAUAACCCCCCAAUAACCCCAUAACCCCUCCCAUAACCCCAUAACACCCCAUAACCCCCCAUAACCCCCUCAUAACCCCCUCAUAACCCCCCCAUAACCCCAUAAUGUCCCAUAACCCCAUAAUACCUCAUAACCCCAUAACCCCCCAUAAUACCCCAUAACGCCCCAUAACCCCACAGCGCCCCACAGCGCCCCGCAGCGCCCCGGCUGACCUUCGAGGUGCCGCAGAACGGCGCUCAGCCGAUGGGCGCACGGAGCGAAAAUCCCCACCGUGAGCGGAGCGGCGGCCGCGCAAACGGUGCGCGCCAAACAGUGCGCGUACAGCCGGUCCGGGGCUGCAAUUAACGGCAAUUAACAGUAAUUAACGGUAAUUAACGGCAUGUGAGCCAAACAGUGCGCGUACAGACGGUCCGGGGCUGCAAUUAACGGUAAUUAACAGUAAUUAAUUAACGGAUUAACGGCGUGUGAGCCAAACAGUGCGCGUAGAGACGGUCCGGGGCUGCAAUUAAUUAACGGUAAUUAAUUAACAGUAAUUAAUGGGGUAUUGGGCUGUGAGCCAAACAGUGCGCGUAGAGACGGUCCGGGGCUGCAAUUAACGGUAAUUAACGGUAAUUAACGGUAAUUAAUGGGGUAUUGGGCUGUGAGCCAAACAGUGCGCGUAGAGACGGUCCGGGGCUGCAAUUAAUUAACGGUAAUUAGCGGUAAUUAGCGGUAAUUAAUGGGGUGUGAGCCAAACAGUGCGCGUACAGACGGUCCGGGGCUGCAAUUAACGGUAAUUAACGGUAAUUAAUUAAUGGGGUAUUGGGCUGUGAGCCAAACAGUGCGCGUAGAGACGGUCCGGGGCUGCAAUUAGCGGUAAUUAACGGUAAUUAAUUAAUGGGGUAUUGGGCUGUGAGCCAAACAGUGCGCGUACAGCCGGACCGGGGCUGCAAUUAACGGUAAUUAACGGUAAUUAACAGUAAUUAACGGCAUGUGAGCCAAACAGUGCGCGUACAGCCGGUCCGGGGCUGCAAUUAACGGCAAUUAACGGUAAUUAGCGGUAAUUAAUGGGGUGUGAUCCAAACAGUGCGCGUACAGCCGGUCCGGGGCUGCAAUUAACGGCAAUUAACAGUAAUUAAUUAAUGGGGUAUUGGGCUGUGAGCCAAACAGUGCGCGUACAGCCGGUCCGGGGCUGCAAUUAACGGCAAUUAACGGUAAUUAAUUAACAGUAAUUAAUGGGGUGUGAGCCAAACAGUGCGCGUACAGACGGUCCGGGGCUGCAAUUAACGGCAAUUAACGGUAAUUAAUUAACAGUAAUUAACGGCAUCUGAGCCAAACAGUGCGCGUAGAGACGGUACGGGGCUGCAGUUAACGGCAAUUAACAGUAAUUAAUUAAUGGGGUAUUGGGCUGUGAACCAAACAGUGCGCGUAGAGACGGUCCCGGGCUGUUAAUUAACAGUAAUUAGCAGUAAUUAGCGGUAAUUAACGGCAUGUGAGCCAAACAGUGCGCGUAGAGACGGUCCGGGGCUGCAAUUAGCGGUAAUUAACAAUAAUGAAUGGGGUGUGAGCCAAACAGCGCGCGUACAGCUGGUCCGGGGCUGCCAAUUAAUGGGUAUUAAUGAGUUAUUAAUGGGUUAUUAAUGCGAUAUUAAUGGGGCUAUGGGAUUAUUGGGGCCAUCGAUGGGGUUACGGGGUCAUUAUGGGGUCAUUGUGGGGUCAUUGUGGGGUCAUUGGGAUUUGGGUUCGGGUUGGGGUCAGGUUGAGGUUUAGGGCCACGAUUAGGAUCACUUUUAGGGUCGGGUUUAGGAUUAGGAUCAGGAACAGGUUUAGGAUUAGGAUCAGGUUUAGGGUCGGGUUUAAGAUCAGGUUUAGGGUCAGGUUUAGGAUCACGUUUAGGGUUGGGUUUGGGGUCGGGUUUAAGGUCACAUUUAGGGUCACAUUUAGGGUCGGCUUUGGGGUUGGGUUUAGGAUCACAUUUAGGGUCGGGUUUAGGGUCACAUCUAGGGUCACAUUUAGGGUCGGGUUUGGGGUCGGGUUUAGGAUCACAUUUAGGAUCACAUUUAGGGUCGGGUUUGGGGUCGGGUUUGGGGUCGGGGGGGGCCGUACCUUCGUGCUCCUCCCACUCCCACUCCCACUCGGAGCCGUCGCUGUCCCCAUCGCUGUGGGGCGGCCCCACAUCCAGCAGUGCUCCGCGCUCCUCCACGGAGCCCGAAGGGCGGCGCUGUGGGGCGGAAUGGGGGAUGCGGGUUAUGGGGUGGGCUAUGGGGUACGGG
ensembl:lncRNA